rnacentral:rRNA from 1 species
CCUACGGGAGGCAGCAGUGAGGAAUAUUGCGCAAUGGCCGAAAGGCUGACGCAGCGACGCCGCGUGAAGGAUGAAGUCCGUUAGGAUGUAAACUUCUUUUGUAGGGGAUGAAAUCCCAUUCGGUGGGUUUGACAGUACCCUGCGAAUAAGGAUCGGCCAACUACGUGCCAGCAGCCGCGGUAAUACGUAGGAUCCGAGCGUUGUCCGGAAUUACUGGGUGUAAAGGGCGUGUAGGUGGGUCUCUAAGUCGGUGGUGAAAUCUUGCAGCUUAACUGCAAAACUGCCGUCGAUACUGGAGAUCUUGAGUGCGGCAGAGGGAGACGGAAUUCAUGGUGUAGCGGUGAAAUGUGUAGAUAUCAUGAAGAACACCGGUUGCGAAGGCGGUCUCCUGGUCCGUUACUGACACUGAGGCGCGAAAGCGUGGGGAGCAAACAGGAUUAGAUACCCUGGUAGUCCACGCCCUAAACGAUGGGUACUCGGUGCUGGGCCGCAAGGUUCAGUGCCAACGCUAACGCAUUAAGUACCCCACCUGGGGAGUACGAUCGCAAGGUUGAAACUCAAAGGAAUUGACGG